rnacentral:lncRNA from 1 species
AUGGUUUUCCUUUGUCUUUUUCUUUUUUUUUUUCUAUGUUUUUUCUUUUUAGAGUCUUGCUCUGUCACCCAAGCUGGAGUGCAAUGGUGUGAUCUCGGCUCACUGCAACCUCUGCCUCCCAGGUUAGAGCGAGUCUUCUGUUUCAGCCUCUGGAGUAGCUGGGAUUAUGGGACAGGAAAUAGACGAAACCACCCAACUGAGCUCAAGUCCAAGACAGCCAAUAAUAUCACACACAGAGUUAUCCCAUCCAUCCCAAGGAGAGAAUGCCAAUCUGUGAGUGUCUUCUCUUGGACCUAGAAUUAAAGAGCAGUAUAAUUACCUGGGACUGAAAUUCUGGGAUAGCAGGUAUGCAUGCAUAUUUUAAACUUCAUUAAGUAUUUCUCAUUGCCUUUCAGAAAUAUCCGUGAGAGUUCGUUUUUUUAUUUACUUGCCAACUUUUACAAUCUUUGCC